rnacentral:tRNA from 1 species
CAAAAAGUAGUUUAAACUAAAAUGCUGGCUUUGGGGGCUAGAGAUGGUGUAUCCCUUUUUGA